rnacentral:lncRNA from 1 species
GGAAAUAAAGUAGUAUGUGACGUAAUCACCAAUGCACUUGGACUUGGAUUGCUUUGUUUGGGCUUCAAGAUCCAAGACAAGCCCACAACAUAGAUGAAUUUGAGGCUCCAAUCCUUUUGUUUUAGCUGGAUUAAUUCAGAAUAUGAUGCCAGCAUUUUCUCGUGAAUCUGCUGCAAGUACAUCUUCUGCAAAACUCUCAAAAAGGCAAGACUUACUGCCACCGGUGUACCGCCUCAAGGUAUCCAACAAAGAUAGUUGUGCGUUACUAACCAAAAAUUGAAGCCGACGAAAGAUAGUUAGGACAUUCACUGGAUUUUCAACUUCGUGAACGCAGGCAAUGACUUCUGCCCCGCUUACCAACAAAGUGAAUGUGCUUGUGAACCGGCUUUGGACUUAAGGAUUCAUAGAUAUCGAGAGACCUGGGCAUUGCUUGAAGUUGAUGAUGACCGAUGACGACUUUCGAAGAAAUUGCCGUGGCCUCAAAGCACACAGCCCAGAUGAGUUCAUACAGUUUUCCUCCUAAAGAAAGAAAGUUAGCUUGAGAAUCAUAAGAGAUGUAGACCGAAGCUGAACCUACGAAGACUGAGAGUAUGACAGAGCUACGUACGAAAUGCUAAAGGAAAACAAGGUGACAAGAUUAACGAGGCCAAACCAUAAGAAAUACGAGCAUCCAGAUCAUAUUAUGGCACAAUGAACUUUAAAAAGGUCAAGUUGUAUGAAACAUUCCAGCAGAGACCAAUUACAACUGUUGGGCCAAGGAGGAAAAACAUCCUAAAACCUAUUACGGAUUAGGAAAAGCUUUAGGGAAAAAUCCAGUAGAAAUAGUACAAGAAUAACUGACAAGGCAAAAUGCGUUACACCAAAUAUUUUACCACAAGUGCACUGUCUGUAGGUUAACAACACCACUGUUUCUCAAAUACUCAAAUUUCACCACCUCCACAAGCAUUAAAAGAAACAACUCCUACAUCAUCAAUUAUGCAGCCAAGGAACAUGCGAUUUCUGUGUAGACUGCAUGACCACCCAACUAUCUAUCAAAGAUUUUUUGCACACAUUAGCGUAGCUCGUAAAACUAUGAUUCUUUUGCUGUUGUUCCUAGACCAUGUACUCAAACACAACAAAAAACAAAUUCACAAUCAGUUGUUAUGCCUGCGCUGUACUGGGGUCGGGUUAAGGUACUAGAUUCAGUUCUUGCCAGACAAGAAAUACCACACACGGCAUUGCUUUAGAGUUUUGGGAUCAAAUCCACCGCAGCAUCCUCCUUGACAAGUGAUAAAUAACCCCUUUUAAUGCUUAGAAACAAGUGAACCAUCAAUAUUCAUUUCUUAUAACCGCUACCAAAUGGUUCCUACCCUGUCCUCCCAUCGCCCAAACUAUAUUGUAUGAAGUAUGUCAUCACACUAAGCAUUGAAGCCAACACUAUCGGUUACCAGUUUACAGACGGUAGUAUGGAGAACAAAGCUUUCCCGACAUAAACGAAGGAACCUCAAAAGAAUAUCAAUAUCAAUACAACGAUCCUAUCAUCCAACCCAAACAAGAAUACAAUCCUAUCAUCCGAGCUACGUAUCAUUUCAACCGACAACAACAUAACUGCCACGCUAGUUUAAUUCGCAACAUGCGGCUAGAAACCUACGAACGUGCAAUAAACGCGAGAAGCAAAGGGCAUCACAAAAGGAAGGAUGAAACGAAAACCGGUUCCAAACUACUCAUUUAACAUAAACUUUAUUCGAAUCAAAAUAUGGUAGUGUUACAUCAACAAACUAUAAGUCGAAACUCUAGCUCAAAAACUACAGAAAACUCCCAUUGCGUUGAUGGGAAAACAACAAUUAAAGUAGAAAAAGAUGAACAAAUAGGUAAUGUUACAACACAAACUAUGAUUAUCAUUCUUGUGAUUAUGUUAUUGUAAGAACAAAAGGAUUACACUAUUCUACUAAACCAAAAAAACAAGAAAAAAGAACAAGGAAAGCCAGACUCACGAGAACCCCUUCCGGAGCUUCUGGAUGGCGGCGUACAUUUUCCGCCGUGAACCGACGGCGUUAAUACCCAUAUCCUUAAGAUCCUCCAACGUCAGCAUCGGCAGCACCUCGUCGUCCACCUCGUGUAUCUCGAACACCGGCGUGUACCGGCUCAGCCCCAAUUCUAUCAGCCACGACCUCACUCCACUCCAAUUCGACUCCGGCAUGUUAUCCGCCUCAACGGCAUCGUUCUCCCUGCUCACCGACGCCCUAGCCCAAUUUCCUGCCAUCCUCCUCUGCCCAUCCCACAUAUCCUCCCCCGCGUCGUCCCCCGAGUUCACCGGAGUGCUGCCCCUCACCGGACUAUCCUGAUCGGGAUCCGCGCUGAACCACUCGCCUCCCUCCUCUCUGCUAUCGCCGUCGUCGAGCUUCGAAUUGGAAGCCCAAUUCGAUCGGAUCCUCUUGGUCCCCGUGGCUCGCUUCGCCUUGACUCUCCGGCUCCCGAACUCGAACCCUCCGUCGCCAUUUUGGUUCCUCUCAUCGGGCGGCGUCAUUUCGUUGGACUCGUUGCCGUUGACGAGGUUGAUGAUUGACCGGGCCUUGACCGAUUUGGAGUCCUUGGGGAGCCUCCAGCCGGGCCUGGCUCGUCGCAUAUGUGAUUCAAAUGCGCCAGUAGCGGCAGGCUGGUCGCCGAUCUCGCCUAAUCGGACGCUGGGGCGUCGCUGCCGUUUGGGGCCCAAUUGGCCGUGGUUCUCCGCGGCGUGUACGGCCGUUGUGGUUGCUAUUGCCGUUAUGGCAGUUAAGGAUGUUUCUGUAUUUAUCAGCUGUGUCGUUGUGGUGGCUGGAAUUGUCGGGCCGGCGGUGAUUGGAGCUUCCGGUGGCUGUAGCUCAGCUGCCAUGAGAGUGAAGUGGGAAAAGGGUUCAGAGAGUGCGCGUAGGAUAAGGGAUCUGCUAGUUCUAGAUAAGCAUCCAUGUCUCAAUGUCCACCGUUGGAUCAGGAUCAUUGGUUGAUAAUCCAACGGCGGCGGUAAGGGCGAUGGGAUUUUUUAAAUACUUGGGCCUGGAGUGCUCCGUCGCUCUGCCUUAUGGACUCGUAUGUAGAACCGUCCUUCUACCCAAAUGGGUUGGACAUAGCCGACCUGAAUAAUAGUACGGAUGCCCUUGCAUAACUUCUUGAGAUAUUUUAUUGUUUUACAUACAAUCGGUUUUUUUUUUUUCUCGAAUUUUAUUCUUAGCAACUCCUAUAUUCGAACAAAGUAUUUUCUAAUUAAAUUACAAAUUACAAAUGUUUAGAAAAGGCUCUAUUAUUAUUUCGUGAGACAAUCUACAUUGAUAUAAUAAAAGUUAAGAACCUACGACAAUCACAGAUCACCCGGCCACAUCUCAAAUUCAUUCUUCCCAUCACUCCUUUCAAUCUCAUACCACCACCGUGAACUGGAAGCCUCGAAGCCACCACCACAAAUUCCAGUCAAUUUCCUUUCUCCACGGACGGAGGAGGAAAAACUUUGAACUCACUACUUGUUACAAUGCUGGAAAGACCGAAUGAUAAAUCACUAGAUUAAGCGCUAAUUAGUAGCCAAUUUUGAACUUGAAGAUCAGAUACCAACUAAAAAUUUGAACAAAAUUUGUAGCCGAUCGAAGAUGGCAUAAACAUUAACGAAGUAGGCAGUUGCAAACAAUCACACGUAAAGUCAUGCAGCUUCCAUUCAAACAAUUUUGGCACCACCAUGUUGCGCAUCCAGAAGCACCAAAUCUGAAACUGUAGGCGCCAAUUAACCUUGCUUGAGUACCGAACUAAAGCGUCUAUUUUUUCUUGUUUUUUCCUGGAAUGAAUUAGAUCAAAAUUAUACGUAUUAUAAAAGAAAAAACUGGAUUGCAAAAUGAAAUACCAGGAGAGUCUUGGGCAGAAUGCGAUCUCCGCUGUCGUGAUUGGAAUUUCGCGACUUCAGAACUAAAAACAAAUUGAGAAAAAUAUUAGAGCUUAUACAAGAAAGCAAGAAACAAAUAAAGUAUUUUUACACCACAAAGAAGCUAAAAACACAAUUUGUAUCAGUUGCAGCUUAUACCGCUGUGCAAUAUAAGAGAGAUGUUCCUUUUAAUUGCUUCUUUCUAGCUGCUCAAAGAAGGGUAGUACUAUAUUACCAACAAUUUCCUUAUCUGGUAUGCUUAGGUUACAAUUAUUGAAAUUUAGCGAAACACAGUGAACCAAGAAUUAGAACAAGCAGUAUAUAACAAAAGGCAGGUCGGACUGUGAGAGUAGGAGCAUGAACAUGAAGUAGAAAAACAGCAAAGAACAGAGAACCAACAAUGGAGAAUAACAGUGAAAAUUUAAAGAAGAUCAAAAUAAAUUUUAGAAAAAAGGUAAUAUGAAGCUGCUGAAAUAAACAACACAAAUGAAAUCCGUCUGCGGAUCCUCGCUGUAAUUUUACUUGUUUAAAAGAAAACACAACACAAAUGAAGUAACCGCGAGAUUUUCAAAUUCAAGAAGUACCUGUCCACCAUGUUGGCAAAUACAACGGAAGGCACGAGUUGGACUUUAUCGAAAUCCUCUCCUCCUACCUGAAGCCUGUUACGAAAUGUCGUAGACAUCCUUACGAAGCUCAACUCCCUGAGCGUAGUAAGAUACCUCAGCCCGUUUGGAACUUCGGUCAAUCUGUAGCAAGCUUGUAUGAACAAUCGGCGGAGGCUCGGCAUGGCUCCUCUUUCCACCUUCAAGUCCUUUAACUCAUACAUAGAAAUAAGGGAAAGACAUUCAAGACGACGAAAGCCUUCGUUGGAGAAAACCAGUGUGUCCGAAAUUGAACUCUCAAAAGUUUCUUCCAUUAGGCAUAGGAUUUUCAAAUUUGGCAACUUCGCUAGUACCGCCAUUUGGUUGUCGUUGAGAUCACACCGGCACAGAGAUAACUUAGUGAAGUUUGGAAAGUGCUGAAGGUCUCCAGGUAACUCUACUGUUCGACCAUUCAAUUUCAGCUUGUACACAUGACGACAACUGAAUACUAUUUGUGUUACCUCCGUGCCACUGUCAGUUCCAAGUAAGUUGUGCACAUAUAGAGAUCGAAUGCCAUUGAGUGUGUUGCUUAUACCUUUCAAGGUUUCCUCCAAAUUUUUCAAGGGGCUUGCCAAUUGUAUGGCCAGUUUUCUGAGACUGGUUAAUCCAGCAAGAUCAUUCAACUCACAACAGCGACUCGAAACAUAAUUUAAAGUCUGCAAAUUGUGAAGAGUAGAUAGGUGUAGUCUAUUACCACGUGCGGUGUAAUACAUGUGUAAUUACAAAUGCCUCAGUUGCACCAUCUUCCAAAAUACAUUUGGUAACAUAUCCGACCUAUUACGAAAGCGAAGAUUCAGAGUUUGCAAAAGUAUCAAAUUGCCCAGGGAAGAUGGCAACCGUUUUAUCAACUUUCAUAACUUGAUGGAACUAAUUUAUCAACAUUUUCAUCCAAGCAGAUGGCAAGUCUUCGAAUCUUACCCGUUGGUAUUGCCUUGGCUAUCAUCAGAGAAGGAGGAGAAUACAUAGUCUCACUUCUGUGCAGUGAUUUGACAUUUCGGAGAAAGCCCUCCUCUUCUGACUUUAUCAAACACAAGUCCCGCAUAAGAUCGUGAAGACGACAAGACUUGAUCUUUCUAACAGAACCCUGUUCCCCAAUUUGAACCACACACCUGUCCACCAGUUCAUUUAAGUAGUUGUAUGCUAUGUCCUCCAUUGUUUCUACUAAACCUUGUGUUUGUUGUAGUGGCAUAGAUAUAAAAACUUCUGCCAUCCACAGUGGAGUCAAUCUUUUCACUGGUAUCUCAAAAUCUUCCGGGAAAAUGCCUAAAUACAAAAAGCAUGAUUUUAAGUGAUAGGGUAAGUUAUCAUAACUCAAUGACAACACCCACAAUGUACUCAUGCAUUCUUGUUCAUGGCCUUUGCCUCUUCUUAUGUAUGCAUAAACAUUGUUAAGCACUGUAUCCCACUCUUCAAUUGUAUCCUUUCUAGCAAGGAGUCCUGCAAUCACAAUGACAGCUGAUGGCAACCCGGCACAAUGUUGAAGCAUCUUCUUUCCUAUUUCUUUCAUCCUUCCGAAAACUUCCGAGGCUGAUAAAUAAUGAAACACCACAUUAAUUAUUUGUCAUAUUAACAACUGCAUUGUCUAAUGGAGAGUUAAAGAAAUGAAUUUAUCAAAUACAUACAAUAUAAGUUAAUGGUUUUAGUAAACGGAUGCUAGAUAUCUCACCAAAUACACACACACACACAUAUAGUUCUAGAUAACUGAAAAAACAAUAUAAUUUAUGUUAGAUACUAUCUUUUUAUCUAUAUAUACCAGGGUAAAUGGUGAAUUACUCUAGUGGUUAGGAUCUUCCUCUUAAACCUAUUGCGUCAUGCAUUCAAACCUUUUUCUCUUCCCUUGCUGUAGAAUAUCGAACAUCAAUUUGGUACAAAACGUAGCCUUCCAACUAGGUUUAGUCUCCCAUAUAUCGUUGAGCAAUGUAAUUGAAAUAACUAGAUGUACUUAUACAUGUGAAAUUGUUUUGAAAUAUCUACGUGCAACGGUGCAAGAAAUUGUUUGAAACCCAUUUGUUUUCUUCAUGUCCUCCUUGUUCGAAUCUUUAGCAUACACGGAGGUUUGAAAACGUAUUUCUUUUUAAUUUGUGUCAAAUGGAAUAUGAAAUCAAUUGAAAUAAGAAAUUAAAGUAAUCCAGGAGAAUAGAAUGGGGUGAGAAAUUACUUAUUUCUUCUCUUCCGAAGAUUCUGUUCUCUGAUUUAAUGGAAAUGCAGCUUUCAAAGACUCCCAUGUCUCGAUGCUCCAAAUAUCAUCGAUGACAACCAAACAUCUAUGUUCUUGCUGUAGAAGAUAAAUUCUCUUGGCUAUUUCAUCAUCUUUCAUUUUUGCAAUUUCUUCUCUUUGCACGGUGGUAGCAGAAAGAAGUUUAAUUAAAAGUUCUUCCCAAACAUUGUUGAGAGAUACAUACCCAAACAAAGCUGCCAAAAUGGCGUCUAACUUCAUUGUGGCGAUAAAUCUGUUUUGCAAGAGUUGUCUUUCCCAAACCCCCCCAUUCCCCACCCAAACCCCCCCAUUCCCCAGAUAGAAACAACUUGGUGUCUGGGCUCUUUCUUCACCAAAUGCAUAACCAAUUUUCGUAUGUCAGCUUCUAACCCGACAACAUCACCAUCAAUAAUAUGAGAAUAGCUUCUUCUUAGUUGUUGCUGCCUCUCAUACAAAGAAGUGGCUCCUCUAGAGUCCCUUAUUUCCAUGAUGUUAUGCAUUUGCAAGCUUGACCUGAAAUUGGAAAUCUGGGUGGUAAUUUUCUCAAUUUCUGAGCCAAUUUUGUGAAGAUCAACUCCUUCCUUCAGCACACAACCAAACCUUUUCAGAACGUUCUUAAUACCUCCUUCCCUCUUCGAGGCCACUUGGAGGACAAAAAUUUCUAUGACAUCCUCCAAAUCAUAAGCAGCAUUUCUAAUUUUCGCGACCAGAAUAUGUACCGUUUCAUCAUCUCCUUGCCUUACAUGUGCAUCUUUCAGAAAACCCUGCACUAAUUGUAGCUCAAUUUGUGCAGCCUCAACUUGAUAGCUGACUCCAUGCAAGAACUUCGAUUCUUGAAUGAUUAAGUCUCCAAGCUUUGCAACCACAAACCACUGCCUCAGCAAUAUCGGUCGCGCGCACAAGGAAAACAACUUAUAGACUUUAAGUUUCAAAGUAUUUCUAUUUCAUAGAGUUCUGAAUGAACAAGAAAAUAUACGUAGGCAAACAAGUAAAUGGUUACAGGCAACCAAAACUUCACUCCUCGAAACAGUGUGUUUUCGAGGUUGUUUCUUCUUCAAACUUGUCCUAUGAGCCUUGGGGAGUUGUAAGGAAGCUCCUACAACCUUCAAAACGUCGUGACUCGGCCGGGAUCAUGUCGGAAUAAACUUGUCCGAGUCGGACCUUCCGAGUUGACGAGUCAAAACUCGUCCGUUUCACGAUCUGGUUGUAUGGUUGGGUUCGUGGAGACGAGGGGAGUACGAUGGUGGAGUUUUUAAACUCGAUAUGUGAAGAUUUGGUGAAGGUCCUUCUAGUUGCAGAGGUGAAGAUGCUCGGGUGAGGAUAGAGGGGGAAAAGAUGGCAGAUGGGGAAAGUGAGUUCUGAUUGGUGGAAAAGGAAGAGGGACAAGGAUUGUCUGCCCUUUACUUCCGGUGCCCUCCCCGUGCCCUCCUGUUUGUGUGAUCACGGUUAAGCCACGUCAACAUUUUAUAUUACUAUUCAUUUUUGUCUUAUUAUAUCCAUUAAAAAACAAUAUAAAAUGUUGACGUAGCUUAACCGUGACCACACAAAAUAGGAGGGCACCAGGAGGGCACCGAAAGUGGAGGGUAGACAAUCCUUGUCCCUCCUCCUUUUCCACCAAUCAGAACUCAUUUUCCCCAUCUGCCAUCUUUUCCCCAUCUCUCCUCACCCAAGCGUCUUCACCUCUGCAACUACAAGGACCUUCACCAAAUCUUCACAGAUCGAGUUUAAAAACUCCACCAUCGUACUCCCCUCGUCUCCACGAACCCAACCAUACAACCAGAUCGUGAAACAGACGAGUUUUGACUCGUCAACUCAGAAGGUCCGACUCUGACAAGUUUAUUCCGACGUGAUCCCGGCCGAGUCACGACAUUUUGAAGGUUGUAGGAGCUUCCUUACAACUCCCCGAGGCUCCUAGGACAAGUUUGAAGAAGAAACAACCUCGAAAACACACGAUUUCGAGGAGUGAAGUUUUGGUUGCCUGUAACCAUUUACUUGUUUGCCUACGUACAUUGUCUUGUUUAUUCAGAACUCUAUGAAAUAGAAAUACUUUGAAACUUAAAGUCUAUAAGUUGUUUUCCUAGUGCGCGCGACCGAUAUGGCUGAGGCAGUGGUUUCCGUUGUGGUUGCAAGGCUUGGAGACUUAAUCAUUCAAGAAUCGAAGUUCUUGCAUGAAGUCAGCGAUCAAGUUGAGGCUGCACGAACUGAGCUACAAUUAGUGCAGGGUUUUCUGAAAGAUGCAGAUGUAAGGCAACGAGAUGAUGAAACGGUACAUAUUCUGGUCGCAAAAAUUAGAAAUGCUGCUUAUGAUUUGGAGGAUGUCAUACUAAUUUGGUUUAUCUGUUGUUAAUGAUCAAACCAAACCAUGGGAAAUAAAGUAGUAUGUGACGUAAUCACCAAUGCACUUAGGACUUGGAUUGCUUUGUUGGGCUUCAAGAUCCAAGACAAGCCCACAACAUAGAUGAAUUUGAGGCUCCAAUCCUUUUGUUUUAGCUGGAUUAAUUCAGAAUAUGAUGCCAGCAUUUUCUCGUGAAUCUGCUGCAAGUACAUCUUCCUUAAAACUCUCAAAAAGGCAAGACUAACUGCCACCGGUGUACCGGCUCAAGGUAUACAACAAAGAUAGUUGUGCGUUACUAACCGAAAAUUGAAGCCGACGAAAGAAAGUUAGGACAUUCACUGGAUUUUCAACUUCGUGAACGC